rnacentral:rRNA from 1 species
CUACGUGCCAGCAGCCGCGGUAAUACGUAUGUCACAAGCGUUAUCCGGAUUUAUUGGGCGUAAAGCGCGUCUAGGUGGUUAUGUAAGUCUGAUGUGAAAAUGCAGGGCUCAACUCUGUAUUGCGUUGGAAACUGCAUGACUAGAGUACUGGAGAGGUAAGCGGAACUACAAGUGUAGAGGUGAAAUUCGUAGAUAUUUGUAGGAAUGCCGAUGGGGAAGCCAGCUUACUGGACAGAUACUGACGCUAAAGCGCGAAAGCGUGGGUAGCAAACAGGAUUAGAUACCCUGGUAGUCCACGCCGUAAACGAUGAUUACUAGGUGUUGGGAAUCGAACCUUAGCGCCCAAGCUAACGCGAUAAGUAAUCCGCCUGGGGAGUACGUACGCAAGUAUGAAACUCAAAGGAAUUGACGGGGACCCGCACAAGCGGUGGAGCAUGUGGUUUAAUUCGACGCAACGCGAGGAACCUUACCAGCGUUUGACAUC